rnacentral:rRNA from 1 species
UACGUAGGCAGCGAGCGUUGUUCGGAGUUACUGGGCGUAAAGAGUGCGUAGGCGGUUAUCUAAGUUUGGUGUGAAAUCUCCCGGCUUAACUGGGAGGGUGCGCCGAAAACUGGAUAGCUUGAGUAUGGGAGAGGCAAGCGGAAUUCCUGGUGUAGCGGUGAAAUGCGUAGAUAUCAGGAGGAACACCUGUGGUGUAGACAGCUUGCUGGACCAUUACUGACGCUGAGGCACGAAAGCGUGGGUAGCAAACAGG